GUUGGUACUUGUACCGACUGGAUGAGCAGCGAACGGGUGAGUAACGCGUGGGGAAUCUGCCUUUGAGCGGGGGACAACAUUUGGAAACGAAUGCUAAUACCGCAUAAAAACUUUAAACACAAGUUUUAAGUUUGAAAGAUGCAAUUGCAUCACUCAAAGAUGAUCCCGCGUUGUAUUAGCUAGUUGGUGAGGUAAAGGCUCACCAAGGCGAUGAUACAUAGCCGACCUGAGAGGGUGAUCGGCCACAUUGGGACUGAGACACGGCCCAAACUCCUACGGGAGGCAGCAGUAGGGAAUCUUCGGCAAUGGACGAAAGUCUGACCGAGCAACGCCGCGUGAGUGAAGAAGGUUUUCGGAUCGUAAAACUCUGUUGGUAGAGAAGAACGUUGGUGAGAGUGGAAAGCUCAUCAAGUGACGGUAACUACCCAGAAAGGGACGGCUAACUACGUGCCAGCAGCCGCGGUAAUACGUAGGUCCCGAGCGUUGUCCGGAUUUAUUGGGCGUAAAGCGAGCGCAGGUGGUUUAUUAAGUCUGGUGUAAAAGGCAGUGGCUCAACCAUUGUAUGCAUUGGAAACUGGUAGACUUGAGUGCAGGAGAGGAGAGUGGAAUUCCAUGUGUAGCGGU
rnacentral:rRNA from 1 species